rnacentral:lncRNA from 1 species
UGUAUUGCCAUGCAAUACUCUCAGAAUGCUUGUUUUACAUGUCAUUUUAUGACUUUUAAAACAUGCUGUGAAGUACAGUUUAAAUCAUAGUUGAAGGCUGUACAGUGACCUAUGGUUGCCUUUUCUGUGUAAUUUGAUCUUGUGUUGUGAAGUACGGUUUAAAUCAUAGUUGAAGGCUGUACAGUGACCUAUGGUUGCCUUUUCUGUGUAAUUUGAUCUUGUGUUGUGAAGUACAGUUUAAAUCAUAGUUGAAGGCUGUACAGUGACCUAUGGUUGCCUUUUCUGUGUAAUU